rnacentral:rRNA from 1 species
CACGUAGGGCGCAAGCGUUGUCCGGAAUUAUUGGGCGUAAAGAGCUCGUAGGCGGUCUGUUGCGUCCGCUGUGAAAACUCGGGGCUUAACCCCGAGCCUGCAGUGGAUACGGGCAGACUAGAGGUAGGUAGGGGAGUGUGGAAUUCCUGGUGGAGCGGUGAAAUGCGCAGAUAUCAGGAGGAACACCAGUGGCGAAGGCGGCUUUCUGGACGGUAACUGACGCUGAGACGCGAAAGCGUGGGGAGCAAACAGG